AAAAUGGCGACGGUCACGUUGUGGCGAGCCUUGCUGCGUCAUUAGAUAAUCCUCAUGCAAAUAGCGGGAAGAACAAAGGAAGGGGGGGCCCAGGACCCCCGGGGGCGCAGGGUGCUGGCGUGGGUUCCUCGCCGUCCGGCGGCGACUGUAAAUAGAGCCUGGAUGUUGUUUACAUGAAGGAUCCGGCGGGAGGAGUCUGCGAGGAGGAGGCGGAGGAGGAGGGAGGGAGGAGAGAGGAAGAACGGAGUCCCCGCGGCGGUGGCGGUCCGGGGUGAGGGGGAGCCCCGCGCGGCGUCCAGGGACCGGGCGCUGGUAUACCACGAGGCCGGGACGCUGGACCCUAGGAAGGGGGAAGGGACUUGGCGGAGAUCGCCUGCUCCUGGCCGCAGCUGAACCCACGGCUUCUCCCUGCCUUCCCGGGCCAAGGAAUCCUUCCCCUCACUCAGCUACCCGUAUGCCAGCUGCCACCUUUUUGGAGAAGGACCACACCUGUGCUAACUCGCUUUGGAGGAGAGAUGCAGGACUGAAAGCUCUGAGGAUGGUGGACCCUGCAGAAAAGAGGAGUUUAAUUGUGUUUCUGGAAUGCUGCAGGGUUCUAGAACUCGAGGUUUAAUACAGAAGUGAAAUCAGAAUAAAACUGACUUGUGAGCGGACUCUAAAAUCUAAACUCUGUGGAAAAAAUGGAAUCGAGAACAAAAUCAGAAAGCAAAAGAACUGUGGCAUAGACAGUUGGACUAAAAGUGUGUAUGGUGAGUGUGUUAAGAGGAAAAGGUUAGUGAUACAAUUUAUGGGUUAAUCCACUUAUUUGUAAGUUUUUAGUCUCCUGUAACCUUUUUGGACUAAAAUUCCCAUUAGCAUUAGUAAGAAAGCAUGUCCUUUCUUUCUUUCUUUCUCUACAUCAUUGUGUACAUACUUUAUUUGAUAGGUCUUUUCCUUGAGAUGGAUCUGUUAGGGUCGUGUAGUAGGAGAUGACGUAGAGGUCGGUGCUGAAAGUGGGUAAAACCUGACACUCCCUUUAUAAUUCCUCCCAAUUAAUGCUUCUCUGUGACAAUCAGGGUAGACGUUGCACAGGGCAGUGGUCCUUGGCUUCUCCUUGCCUUUUUAGCCAGUUUCUUUCUCCUUAAAAAAGGUACCUGUAAUCCCCUCACUCCAGGUCUCCUAAUAAUCUCUAAAACAAGUUAGUUUUUAAAAACCGUUGCUAUAGCAAAGCUUUGCAGCAAUAUGCAUGUAUACGUUCAUGUACUUCUAACAAAGUAGUAAUUGACAUUUGAGCAUUUUUUGUUGACAGUACAUUUUUAUAACCUUACAGUUUGGUCAGAUAUGCACAUUUUAUAAUACUCAGUUGGAUUUCUGUUUUCAAGUUGGAAAACAAUCACACUUCAGUAAAAGACUGAUGGAUUUAAUUAAAUGAUCUUAUUUAAACUAUUGUGUUUUAAAAGUGUUUUUUAAAUACAUUGUAUUGCCUGCAGCUUAUUUUAUGGUGCUUCCAUUUACUUACUCAGGUAUUUGAAAGUUCAAAAUCAUCAUUUUUGGGGGUGCCUGGGUGCUUAGUUGGUUAAGCGUCCAACUUCGGCUCAGGUCAUGAU